rnacentral:rRNA from 1 species
GGAUCAUUACCGAGUUCUACAAAAACUCCCAACCCUUUGUGAAUCGUACCUAGUUGCCUCGGCGCCGAGCAGCAGCUACCCUGGAGCUACCCUGGAGAAAUCCGGGAGGGCUACCCUGGAGCUACCCUGGAGAAAUCCGGGAGAGCUACCCGGGAGCUACCCUGGAGGAGUCUUGGAGAGCUACCCGGGAGUUGCGUCUACGCUCCGCCGGUGGACCACUAAACUCUGAAUAUUACCAGUGUAUCUAUGAAUUCUUUAACAAAAAUCGUUAAAACUUUCAACAACGGAUCUCUUGGUUCUGGCAUCGAUGAAGAACGCAGCGAAAUGCGAUAAGUAAUGUGAAUUGCAGAAUUCAGUGAAUCAUCGAAUCUUUGAACGCAUAUUGCGCCCAGUAGUAUUCUACUGGGCAUGCCUAUUCGAGCGUCAUUUCAACCCUUAUGCCCUGUAGCAUAGCGUUGGGGUUCUACUCCUCCGGGAGCAGUCCCCUAAAACCAGUGGCGGUGUUCGGUACACUCAUAGCGUAGUAAUUCUUUCUCGCUUCUGACGUGGCCCGAAUCUUCGGCCGUAAAACCCCCCUAUUUUUCUAUGGUUGACCUCGGAUUAGGUAGGAAUACCCGCUGAACUUAAGCAUAUCAAUAAGCGGAGGAAAAGAAACCAACAGGGAUUGCCCUAGUAACGGCGAGUGAAGCGGCAACAGCUCAAAUUUGAAAUCUGGCCCUCGGGUCCGAAUUGUAAUUUGUAGAGGAUGCUUUUGGCGCGGUGCCUUCUGAGUUCCCUGGAACGGGACGCCAGAGAG